rnacentral:lncRNA from 1 species
CAGGGAUAUUAUGGAGGUAACAGAGGCAAAGAAGCACCACUCUGACAUGGAAAAUAAUUUCCGUUGUCAGAUUAUUCUUGUUUAACUGGGUUUAACUUUAUAGUAGGGUUAAAUGUGGCCUUUGAAGGUUGGUGAGUAACAACAUCUUUUAAAACAUGGUGAAUUCCAACAAGAAAAGACCAAGGCAACAGACGCAUGAGAGUGAGGUAUUUACCUGAGGGCGAUUGAAGUCACCAGCUUAACAGUGGAAAGACCUUAAGCCAGAGAACUCCAGGUUCAAGAACCACCACCUGCAAACUUGGCAAAUUUGGACAAAUGUCUCUCUGAGUUUCAUUGUCUUCAUCCACAAAUAAAGCAAGAUUACUUCACCUACAGAAUUGCGGUGUGCUGCAGAUGGCAUCAACGCUUUUCUCCUAAAAAGAACUCAACUCAG